ACCUUUAGAAAUCUCAUGUGUAGUAUCUGUUCUUAUCAGUUUAAUAUCUGAUACGUCCCCCAGCGGGGGACUACAUAUUAAGUGGAUUUUUAGAACAGGGAGUCGGCAAAGGAGCUUGCUCCAUGGCCUAGCGGUUAAGGAAGCGGCCCUGUAAUCAGAAGGUUGCAGGUUCGAUUCCCGAUCC
ensembl:snRNA U2 U2 spliceosomal RNA